rnacentral:rRNA from 1 species
UGAGGAACAUGACCUUCGGCGGGGGAUAGCCGGCCCAACGGCCGGGUAAUACCGCGUACGACCACAUGGGGACAUCCCUGAGUGGUGAAAGCAGCAAUGCGCCGAUGGAGUGCCUCGCGGCCUAUCAGCUAGUUGGUGAGAUAACGGCUCACCAAGGCGACGACGGGUAGCUGGUCUGAGAGGAUGGCCAGCCACAUUGGGACUGAGACACGGCCCAGAUCCCGUA